UCUAUCGAUCGAUCUCGCCUCCUCCUUCGCUGAACAGCAGGAAGCAAAGCAGGGCUCUCCUUCUCCUUCUUGACACCAUAGGCGUCAAAUGAAGCGUCCGAAAUGCCAGGACUGAGAGAAGUGAAGCUGCUGCACUUAGCGGAGCAGAGCCAAGUAGGAGAGAGAGAGGGAGAUCCAACCAGAUGGAGUGUUAUCGUGGUCGUCGUUGCUGGAGAGAAGACCGUGCUCUCUCUCUCCUCCGCCCUUGAACCCAGCAAGCUCUCAAUGGGAGGGAUUUCCCAGCGUUCAUCUUUUUUGGUGGGGGAAUGGUUUUUGCAAAAAGAGAAGGGUGACUCUGAGCUUCUACUGUUGAAAAGGAUAAAGUCGUGCUCUUAGAUGUGCAUCCACUACAGAAGGCUUUCCUGGCCUGCGGUACUUUGUAUGAUAAGGUUUUGGAUAGUGGAUACAUCUAGAGUUAGGUGGUCCCAUUGGUUGAUUGUUCGUCCUUUUUGAAGUCGACGCAACUAUGAUGGUCGUGGAAGGCAUGUGCUUCAUUUCAUUGGCUGCGGGAGAUGAUGUCGAUGAGAGUAUAAUCAUGUGUAGAAUAUGUGGAUAUGCACGGUGCACUUGAAGAAAAACAACCUCGACCGGUGUUUUGGUUGGGGAUGUAUGCACUGAAGUAGUAAAGCUUCUUGUCUUUUUCUCGCACAGCGUCUGAUGUGAUUGAAGAAUCUGCUAAAGCCGAAUUUCUCCCUGGAUUCCCUGGUAUAGAGUCUGUCCCUGGCCCUCAAUUGCCUCAGAUUGAGGCAUCCUGAGUUGGUUUAUUAUGGUCCCAUGCGUCCAAGGCCUCUCACUGCUCUUAAAUCAGCUGACAAAUUUUCCAAUGGAGCAGGUGGUGAUGAGGCCCUCUUAUGUUCAGUAUGGCUUGAUGGGCAGUCUACUCCUAUUCAAUUCAUCACGCAACAUAUUCAGGAAAUUAAGCAAAUCACGACUCUUAGGUAUUCGGACAGGUCAUGG